GAUGAAGAACGUAGCGAAAUGCGAUAAGUAAUGUGAAUUGCAGAAUUCAGUGAAUCAUCGAAUCUUUGAACGCACAUUGCGCCCGCUAGUAUUCUGGCGGGCAUGCCUGUUCGAGCGUCAUUUCAACCAUCAAGCCCUGUUUAGGCUUGUGUUGGGGCCCUGCGGUUGCCGCAGCCCCCUAAAUGCAGUGGCGGGCUCGUUGUCACUCCGAGCGCAGUAGCGUAUCUCGCUCUGGGCGUGGCGGCGGGUGCUAGCCGUGAAACACCCACUAAGGCUGACCUCGGAUCAGGUAGGAAUACCCGCUGAACUUAAGCAUAUCAAUAAGCGGAGGA
rnacentral:misc_RNA from 1 species